UUGAUUGAAGCUAAAAAGGAAGCUUUUCACUGUUGAUGAAAGUUAGAAAGAUAACACUUUCCAAUCAAG
rnacentral:tRNA from 1 species